rnacentral:rRNA from 1 species
GGUAAACGCUGGCGGCGUGCCUAAAACAUGCAAGUCGAACGAGACCUUCGGGUCUAGUGGCGAGACGGCUGAGUAACGCGUGGGUGACGUACCUGUUAGUGGGGAAUAACUGCCCGAAAGGGUGGCUAAAUUCCGCAUACGUCCACUGGUUCAGUUCAGUGGAGAAAGCCGCAAGGCGCUGACGGAGCGGCCCGCGUUCGAUUAGCUGGUUGGUGGGGUAACGGCCUACCAAGGCGACGAUCGAUAGCUGGUCUCA